rnacentral:lncRNA from 1 species
CGCAGACCGUGCGUAUCGCGCCGGCAAUUAAUCCCGUAUAUUUGUAGCUGAAGUCACAAUGCUCAUUUCAGGAUGGAGCUGGAGUGAGGAGACCCUAUCUAUAUCUGUAAAUGGAUGAUAUCAUUAUUUUGGGAAAUGGAAGUUUAAGCUCUGCGAAACGUACAAUCCCACGGAGAUCUCCGUGGAGGAACUUGUGUGUGCAGGUGUUCAACGUGAUAAGGUGCGUUGCCAUUUAUCUGUGUACUUGCAGGCAAAUAUUAACAUAGUCAUGAAUUAAGCUUUUAAUCCCCUUUAUUAUAAAUUGAAUAUCUUUAUUUUAACAAACAUCAACAAUGCACAUUAUUGUGGUCCCAACUAUUCAUUACUAUUCCCCACAGUGAGGCGUUACAUGAUACGCGGUGAUACACGUGUUUCUGGAGCGGCAGGCGUCUGUGAGCCCCUGCGGUAUAUCUCAUCCUUCCUCCCAGUCUAAACAAAGAGGUGCGCUCACAAACACGCUUCUCAUGUCGCGGAGGAGAACCGCGGCUCCGUCCUGUGCCCGGGAAGUCUGGGGAUGUGAUUCAUGCUGGAAGCGUUGGUGAGAAACCCAUAUUUUAUUUCUCAGAAAACUCGAAUGGAGCUGGAUUGAGGUGCCAAGCUCAGAACAGCAAGCCUCGGGGCCUGGCGGAGCCCAGGUGCUGACCCAGAUGUGGGUCAGAUCACUGCUCGUUCCAGCCUCUGGUGACUCGCGGUGUCAGUCCAGGCCCAAAGCGAGGAGAGAGGGCGCACGCUCCAGGGCUGACUGGAGACGCACCAGCAUGGAUGGCCAGAUCCGGCUCCCAGGCGUCUCACGCAUCCGUCCUCUGCUCUUGGCUCCCUGCUGCAAGUCCCCAAGCCGCCCAAACUGUCCUCCUGACACAAAGGCCGCCUUCACCUCGACCCUGCCGGCCCAGGUGCGUGCCCAGGCUCACCACCCUGCU